GGGUAAAUCAUUGACUUUUAUAUCAACAUAUGACUGAUAAUUAUCCCAACCUAUUCCAUGACAGCCAUGCAUUUCCGCGACUACUACUACCACGCCUGUUGCUGCUGUUACUUUUACAUUGAACAUAGCAGUACUAUGUACAGUGAAUGUAUUUAUCUAUUUGCAUUGUGACGCCAAUGUGUUCGUAGUAGCCCAUCUUUUAUCAUCAAAUUAUUAGUUUUUCUUUAGAUUUAUAUGAAUGGUCUGUGCACACCAUUACUUGUAUCUCCCAGCACAUUCCACUGAUGUACUAGUGGUCUAUUUGAAAACAACGAGUAUCUCUCCAUCUUUCUAUCUCCUUUCUUGUUAAUGAACAUAGAUGGCUGAUGUGAAUACUUUUACGUCAUCACUGCAACCACUGUCACUACUGCUAUCCCCUCACCGUAACUACUCUCAUUAUCACUACCACCACCAGCACCACCACCACUUCACUCUUACAACCCCAACACUUAAGCAACUUUCACGCAAGAUCUCCGCUGUCUGAGGAGGCUGUGGGGGAGAGAGGUAGACGUGCCAGCCGUUCCCCUACAGAAAGAGCUCAGAACUUGUUCUGUUACCAGUCAGCGACCAAUCAAUGUGUCAACAGCAUAUAAUAAUUACCAGCUUAGUGUGAGGACCAUGUGUCGAUUGUCUCUCCUUUCAUCCCUGCAUAUCUCUAUCAAUCUAUUUCCGACACUACUAGCCCAAACCAAGAAUUUGUCUAUUAUUGGGAUUAGAUGAGGAUUCUUUGAGAGUCCAGUGCAAACCAGCUCCAUGAAGUGUCUGAUGGGGCCAUGUUUUGGGCA